UACGGGGGGGGCAAGCGCUGUUCGGAAUUACUGGGCGUAAAGGGCUCGUAGGCGGCCAACUAAGUCGGACGUGAAAUCCCCAGGCUCAACCUGGGAACUGCGUCCGAUACUGGAUGGCUUGAAUCCGGGAGAGGGAUGCAGAAUUCCAGGUGUAGCGGUGAAAUGCGUAGAUAUCUGGAGGAAUACCGGUGGCGAAGGCGGCAUCCUGGACCGGCAUUGACGCUGAGGAGCGAAAGCCAGGGGAGCAAACGGG
rnacentral:rRNA from 1 species